GUUACGGUUUCCGAGACCUCGCCAUAGGGCCGGUUACCGUUCAUGGUGUUAUGAUGUGAUAUGGCAUCUGAUAUGUUCUGAUGAUAUGGUAUGUAUGAUGAUACGAUUUGUUCGGAGCUUGUACGGAGAUUUAAAAACUUCUGGAGUAUGAUGUGUUGUGGCACCAGUGUCGGGGGUGACCACGUUCCUGAGCCCUAUGUAUGAUUUUUAUUUGCAUUUUGUACAUUUGUUUUCCGCACAGGUACAGACGCUCGUUUGGGUGAUCCUCCGGUUUAGGCUACCCAUUCUGCUAUUUUGGAGAGCUCCCCUCGAUCCAGAGCCCACAUUUUGGUAUAUAUUUUUCUGCUAUGCAUAUUCUGUACAUUUGUGAUCAUUCGGGUAUGGCGGGGCCCUGUCCCGUCAUAUGUUCGUAUGUUCUGUUAUGUGUGUAGAGGCUUGUA